UCAGAAUAAACGCUGACGGCGUGCCUAACACAUGCAAGUCGAACGAGAAAGCCCGGCUUCGGUUGGGCGAGUAAAGUGGCGCACGGGUGAGUAACGCGUAGGCAACCUGCCCCCUUGUCCGGGAUAACAGUGCGAAAGCGCUGCUAAUACCGGAUGUGGCCAAGAGGCGGUGGCUCCUUGGCUAAAGUCGGCCUCUCGAAGAAGCUGACGCACGGGGAUGGGCCUGCGUCCUAUCAGCUAGUUGGCAGGGUAACGGCCUACCAAGGCUACGACGGGUAGCUGGUCUGAGAGGAUGAUCAGCCACACUGGCACUGAAACACGGGCCAGACUCCUACGGGAGGCAGCAGUGAGGAAUUUUGCGCAAUGGCCGCAAGGCUGACGCAGCAACGCCGCGUGGGUGACGAAGGCCUUCGGGUCGUAAAGCCCUGUCUGGUGGGAAGAAAAACCGGGGGAUGAAUAGUCUCUCGGUGUGACGGUACCACCGAAGGAAGCACCGGCUAACUCCGUGCCAGCAGCCGCGGUAAUACGGAGGGGUGCGAGCGUUAUUCGGAAUUACUGGGCGUAAAGCGCGUGCAGGCGGGCCGGCAAGUCUGAUGUGAAAGCCCCGGGCUUAAACCGGGAAGUGCAUUGGAAACUGCU
rnacentral:rRNA from 1 species